rfam:Clostridium thermocellum ATCC 27405, complete genome.
UUUUGAAAAGGGCAAAUCUAUCGAAAGAUAGAGACGCAAAGCCAACGAGUCUAAGGUGGAAACACUAUGACGGUCGGGUUGCCAAA